GAUGAACGCUAGCGGCAGGCUUAAUACAUGCAAGUCGUGGGGCAGCAUGAGUAGCAAUACUUGAUGGCGACCGGCAAACGGGUGCGGAACACGUACACAACCUUCCGAUAAGUGGGGAAUAGCCCAGAGAAAUUUGGAUUAAUACCCCGUAACAUAUAGAGUAGGCAUCUUCUUUAUAUUAUAGCUUCGGCGCUUAUUGAUGGGUGUGCGUGUGAUUAGGUAGUUGGCGGGGUAACGGCCCACCAAGCCUACGAUCAGUAGCUGAUGUGGGGGCAUCAUGAGCGACACGGGGACUGAGACACGGGCCCGAUGCAUACGGGAGGCAGCACUAAGGAAUAUUGGACAAUGGGCUAAUGCCUGAUCCAGCCAUGCCGCGUGAAGGGAUAAGGUCCUCUGGAUUGUAAACUUCUUUUAUUUGGGACGAAAAAACGGAAUUCUUUCCCACUUGACGGUACCAAGUGAAUAAGCACCGGCUAACUCCGUGCCAGCCGCCGCCGUAAGAC
rnacentral:rRNA from 1 species